rnacentral:lncRNA from 1 species
CCUGUUUACUGCACCAUUAAAAUGUGAGGAGGCUCAAGGUAAAGAUGCCCAUUCACUGAUAUCCUAAGUUACUUUAACUUGUUGAGCCGCCUGUUUACUGAACCCUUAAAAACGUGAGGAAGCUCAAGGUAAAGAACUUCAUAAUAUCAAGUAACGUUUUUAAUACAUGUAUAUUUUUUCUCUCACAAUUUGUAAUUUUAAUUAUGAAAUGUAGAUAUUCACAUUUCCUACAUAUACC